CCAUGUCAGAUUUGCUCUAAAUGCUUUGGUUUUUGAGUUAUAAGCCAAAAACUGCAUUUUAUCCCUAUGUUCUAUUUUUAGCCGUGGCGGCCAUCUUGAUUUGAUGGCCAGGUCACCGGACACAUUUUUUUAACUAGAUACCCCAAAAAUGAUUGUGGCCAAGUUUGGAUUAAUUUGGCCCAGUAGUUUCAGAGGAGAAGAUUUUGUAAAAGAUAACUAAGAUUUGCGAAAAAUGGUUAAAAAUUGACUAUAAAGGGCAAUAACUCCUCAGGGGUCAAUUGACCAUUUCGUCAUGUUGACUUAUUUGUAAAUCUUACUUUGCUGAACAUUAUUGCUGUUUACAGUUUAU
rnacentral:lncRNA from 1 species